UACGAAGGGGGUGAGCGUUGUUCGGAUUUACUGGGCGUAAAGGGCGCGUAGGCGGCCCUCCUUGUCGCGUGUGAAAGCCCCGGGCUCAACCUGGGAAUUGCGCGCGAAACGGGCGGGCUCGAGUUCGGGAGAGGAGCGUGGAAUUCCCAGUGUAGAGGUGAAAUUCGUAGAUAUUCGGAAGAACACCAGUGGCGAAGGCGACUUACUGGACACAUAUUGACGCUGAGGUGCGAAAGCGUGGGGAGCAAACAGG
rnacentral:rRNA from 1 species